rnacentral:rRNA from 1 species
UACAGAGGUCUCAAGCGUUGUUCGGAUUUACUGGGCGUAAAGGGCGCGUAGGCGGCGCAACAAGUCACUUGUGAAAUCUCCGGGCUUAACCCGGAGCGGCCAAGUGAUACUGUCGUGCUAGAGUGCGGAAGGGGCUACUGGAAUUCUCGGUGUAGCGGUGAAAUGCGUAGAUAUCGAGAGGAACACCUGUGGCGAAGGCGGGUAGCUGGGCCGACACUGACGCUGAGGCGCGAAAGCCAGGGGAGCGAACGGG